rnacentral:lncRNA from 1 species
AUGAAGUUAGAAUUCUUCCUUCCUCAAGGUCAUGGGACCAAGAAAUCUUGCAGUGACAGGGAACUGAUCAUCCAGUGGACGUUACAUUCUUCCUCUUUCUGCCUGACUCCUCUCAAGAAAAGUUCAGGAUCUCUCAGGCAUCCCUGUUUCCUGAGACACAACAACAUAGAAAUUAGACUGAUUAAUAACCUUACAAUGUCCUCUAAGUGUUCAAAAGAAGAGUCACUCAAGGCAGCAAGCUUCAUUGUUGUCUUAUUUGAAGAAUUCAUCAGGGCCACACCAAUGUUCAGUGACCUCCAUCCUGAGCAUUCAACAGCCAUUGACUUCAAGACAAAGAUUAUGAUUCAAAAAAAAAAAACUCAGAUGAAGGCUCAAAAAGCAACAUUAGUAUUUCAAAUAUCAAACAUUUACAGCAGGACAAGUAGAGAAUACGCAACAUUUUGAGAUCUUCUGGCAUAGCAAUCAGGAAGACAGGAUCACCUCCACAGCACAACAAGGCAUUGGGGUAGAGCUUUGUGGAAGAAAGUAAUUAUCAGAAGUAUGUCGGAAAGUAAUUAUCAAGGAGCAAUUAUCAGCUGGAAAUGACAGAAAUA